AAAGACCUCAAAAAGUGGGAUGAGUUUGAAGACCUGUUGGAGGAGAGGAGACAGGUCAGUGAUUUCAAAUUUGCAAUGAAGUGCUACACACCACCCUUGUAUAGAGGAAUUACUCCCUGCAAGCCAAGUGAUAUCAAGUCCAUCGUUCUCAAUUCUGAAGAGAUUAACUAUGUCAUUAAGCAGGUAAGAACAGUGUUCUUCAGGCACAGCCACCCUCCUCCAAUGUAAGUGGGUCCGUCUGCUGCUUCCCUGAAUUUACCUUAUCAUCUCAAGUGUACUUUUAGGUUAGCCACAUGGCACUCAAAUGUGUGCUGGAAGGCCAGCCGAGAAGUACCGUGGCACCAAAUGCAUGGCAUAUGAUGAAACACAGCUUGCACUGAAGACCCCACAGCUUGAAGGUGCCAGUUAGUUAUGAGCAGAGCUGAUUUGGUGCAGGGAGCAGGGAGGGUUUGGGUUUAACCAGACCUGACAGAGGUCCAGGCUUUCCUAGUAGAGGGGGUAGUGAGAGAUUUUAGCUAAACAGAUCACGUCAGACCUGCACCUGAAAACUUUAUGAGACGCCCCGAGGAAGCCUGUGCCUACAUCUCACCCCUGUGUCAGCUGCAUUCAAAUCCUGCAUCAGUAGCUUUUCAAGAAGCUGGGAGCCACAUUUGUUUUCAGAACAGGAGGUCAGAGAGAAGGUUCACAUAGAAUGCUGCAAAGGUUCAGUUUGACCAGUGCAGAGGACAGAAACUGUGGUAAAAUGCAGGGAGCUCCUGGGUGAGUGGGGCUCAGUGGGAGCUGCAAAGCCAGAUGAAGGGCUUUGUCUGCAGUGCCAUGCCCUCGGAUGCUCACAUGGGGUGUGCGUGCUCAUGGGGUGCAGGAGCACUUCUCUGGUUUUACUUUAGAUGUAGACCUUGACCCGUGCCUUUAA
rnacentral:lncRNA from 1 species